GCCAGGAGCCGUGGUAUACACUUGUAAUCCCAGCAGCUUGGGAGGCUGAGGCAGGAGGAUCACAAGUUCAAAGCCAGCCUCAGCAAAUUAGUGAGGCCCUAUAGAACAUAGUGAGACCCUGUCUCAA
rnacentral:sRNA from 1 species